AUGAAUAUAUCUAGUUUUUUUGGAUGGAGGGAGUAUUUUUUUUGUGGAAUGUUUUCUGUGGACCUAGAAGCUGUGGGACAAGAGGAGAAUAUUUGUUUUGUUUUUAGAUUAGAAUCUGGACAAGACGAGAAGAGGCCGAGGCCGAGCCCAGCCCAGCAAUCUGGCGGGCCCCGUUGGAGACCGAGGCGGUCCAGUUGUUUAAGAAGGGGAUCCCGAGGCCCGGACGAGCAGAAGGAAACCCUAGCCGCCGUCGUCUUCCUCUUCGUCGUCCUCGAAGCCAUCUUCUGGUCUGUUGGUAGCUAUGGCGCUGCGCACCGUUGCCGCGAAGCUGAAGGCCCCCGUCGCCUCUCUCAAGCAGGCCUGGGCGGUCUGCCGUCCUCAGGCCAAGGGUCCCAAGCUCUCUAA
rnacentral:rRNA from 1 species